UAACUUAAGCAUAUCAAUAAGCGGAGGAAAAGAAACUAACAAGGAUUCCCCUAGUAACUGCGAGUGAAGCGGGAAAAGCUCAAAUUUAAAAUCUGGCAGUCUUUGGCUGUCCGAGUUGUAAUCUGGAGAAGCGUUUUCCGCGCUGGACCGUGUACAAGUCUCUUGGAAUAGAGCGUCAUAGAGGGUGAGAAUCCCGUCUUUGACACGGACUACCAGUGCUUUGUGAUACGCUCUCAAAGAGUCGAGUUGUUUGGGAAUGCAGCUCAAAAUGGGUGGUAAAUUCCAUCUAAAGCUAAAUAUUGGCGAGAGACCGAUAGCGAACAAGUACCGUGAGGGAAAGAUGAAAAGCACUUUGGAAAGAGAGUUAAACAGUACGUGAAAUUGCUGAAAGGGAAGCGUUUGAAGUCAGUCGCGUUGUUCAGAACUCAACCUGGUUUUACUUGGUGCACUUUCUGGAUGACGGGCCAACAUCAGUUUUGACUGUCGGAAAAAAGCCUUUGGAAUGUGGCACCUCCGGGUGUGUUAUAGCCUUUGGUUGUAUACGAUGGUUGGGACUGAGGACCGCAGCACGCCUUUUGGCCGGGGUUCGCCCACGUACGUGCUUAGGAUGUUGGCGUAAUGGCUUUAAACGACCCGUCUUGAAACACGGACCAAGGAGUCUAACAUGCCUGCGAGUGNUGGGGGUGGAAA
rnacentral:rRNA from 1 species